rnacentral:rRNA from 1 species
AGUGAACGCUGGCGGUAGGCCUAACACAUGCAAGUCGAACGGCAGCACAGUAAGAGCUUGCUCUUACGGGUGGCGAGUGGCGGACGGGUGAGGAAUACAUCGGAAUCUACUUUUUCGUGGGGGAUAACGUAGGGAAACUUACGCUAAUACCGCAUACGACCUACGGGUGAAAGCAGGGGAUCUUCGGACCUUGCGCGAUUGAAUGAGCCGAUGUCGGAUUAGCUAGUUGGCGGGGUAAAGGCCCACCAAGGCGACGAUCCGUAGCUGGUCUGAGAGGAUGAUCAGCCACACUGGAACUGAGACACGGUCCAGACUCCUACGGGAGGCAGCAGUGGGGAAUAUUGGACAAUGGGCGCAAGCCUGAUCCAGCCAUACCGCGUGGGUGAAGAAGGCCUUCGGGUUGUAAUGCCCUUUUGUUAGGAAAGAAAAGCAGCAGGUUAAUACCCCGCUGUUCUGACGGUACCCAAAGAAUAAGCACCGGCUAACUUCGUG